rnacentral:lncRNA from 1 species
GUCAGUGCAGAUUGGUGGAAAUGUGUUUGUCUUUCUACUGGAUACAGUGAGAAAUGAGAUCUUCAAACGGGCAACGUUUUCUGAAUGUGAGUCAGAUUUAUUCCUUUCCUAGUAAGUCAGCCUGGAUCAGGGAUGGGGCAGAAUAAAGGCCACAAGGAGCACAGCAUUGUCUACUGGGUUAUAGCUAGCCAAAAGAGAUAUAGCCGUUCUGGUCAAGAGAUACAUUAACUCUUCAUCUUUCCAGGUUUCAUCUCAUGGAGUUUGUACGAGGGCUGCACUGACUUCCCAAGCAGUCUGCAUGAAAGAACUCAAGGAGACAAGGAAAUUAUUUCCUUUCCUGAGGAAGAAAACGCCCUCUCUGACUCAUACAGCUCAGGGUAGACCAAGAGGCAAUAAAUAAAGAAGUGCUCCAUGCUCACUGAGUAGAUGUGGAACCCUAUAAAUAAUACAAUAAGGCGUGUCCACCAUAUCAGGGUGUGCGUAAAAGAUUGCUGCUUGAUAGUCUGUGUGUGUGAAGAGAUCAGAAGCUUGGAGAGUGGUAGGCAAGCAAAAAGAAGUCAAGGUAAACACUUCACUGCUUUUUGAAGGGUCUUUAUUGAAAACUUACUGAAGGCAAUACAAAUUUUUCUACUGUGUAGGGUGAGGAUUUUAUCAAAGAGCAGAUAGUCGUCAUUACGCUCGAGUUCAAAACAUGGCAGUACUUAAGAGUUUUCAGCUCCUAUUUGUUGAACAUGUAAUGAGAUGAUAACUGAUUAUCUAAAGUGACAUGAAUAAUUAUUUUGAGAUACGUGGGACUGAAAAAUUUACCACUGGCUCCUACUGAUAUGGGUAGGGAUACAGGGCUCCAUGUUUUGCCUCAUCUUAAUAGUAGUCUAAUAAACUCUUACGUACUUUAAAUGCA